rnacentral:misc_RNA from 1 species
AAAAAAUAAUUCGUCCUUGACGGAGGUCGACCGCCGUCUGGCGCGUCCGGCCGAGUCAUCGGAACAAACCCCCGCGUACCUCUCCCGACUUUGCUUCCCGCGCCUUUUCGGGCGCGGGCAAGAAACCCUCUUUCCAUUUUUUUUUGACGUCAGUCUGAAGCGGAAAAACACAAAAAAAAGUU